GGAGAGGUGCCUGAGUGGCUGAAAGGGGCACCCUGCUAAGGUGUUGUACUUUUACGAGUACCGAGAGUUCGAAUCUCUCCCUCUCCG
rnacentral:tRNA from 1 species